UUGAGAUGCUAGAAAAAACAGUUUUCAUUGCCACCUAUCAGCUGCUAGCAUCCAGGAUCCCUCUCACUCUGGCUUGAGGCCAGCACAUAGUACAAACACAGAACAUGUUGCUCUGGUGGAUGAUAUUUCCAGUCCACUGACAAGACACCUGCUGGUGUCCCAGCAGCACCCUUGGCAGCAGCUAACCCUCCAUAGCUGAGCAGCAGAAGGAAACAAGCCACAGAACAAUGUCGUACAGUACAUACACCAAAAAGCCUAAGAGCACAGCAGUAAAUCUGUCAUUAAUGUGACAUCACAAGA